GUAGACCUGAAAUCAGUCGAGGGUACCCGCUGAAUUUAAGCAUAUUAUUAAGCGGAGGAAGAGAAAAUAACUAUGAUUCCCUUAGUAACGGCGAGUGAAGAGGGAGGUGCUCAAAGUGAUAAUCGUGAUACCUCUUAUGGUACCUCGAGUUGUAGCCUCUAGAGGCGUUACCAGUGGAAAGGGCAGGUCC
rnacentral:rRNA from 1 species